AAAAAACGUUCACAAGACUAAGCUUAAUAUUUUUAAGCUGAAAUAACUGAGUUAAAAUUUAAUUCUAUAAGGGUCCGUAACUUAAAAUACAUACUCAAAAAAAUUUUGUACGGAUAUAGAAGAAUUAACUGUAAUUGUCGUGAUAUUAAUGUCAUGUGUAUAAUAACAUGUUAUCUUCAUUGGCAUAUGAUAAAACUAAUUACCAUACCAUACCAUAUGUUAGAUGUUACCAUAUAAUAAAAAACAUCUUAAUGCUACACAUCAAACCAUAGCUAUGACGAUUACAUCGAAUUUCACACCGAUGCGAGUCAAUGCAUCAAAAUAGCAGCUGUUCUAUUGCAACGUAGGCCUGAUGAUGGCGAAUUACAUCCUGUUCAUUAUGCAAGUAGAAAGACAACAGAAGUACAACAGUAUUUUUUGUGUUCAGUUAAUAAGACCAUAGUGAGUAGUUUGCAGAAAACGAAAAAGAGAAACGAAAAAAGAGAAACUGAAAGCCAUUGUUGAAGUUUUGAAAAUGAUCCAUACAACGAUAUCAGCACACAUCACGAUAUUUUGUACAAAACUGUACAAUGAAAAAUUAUUACAUAUAUGUAUGUAUGUAUGUAUAUUGCAUUAGACGGAAUGAAAAACUUACUUGUUCGUACUAUUCACGAAGAUGGUCAUUUUCACCAUGCUAAAAUGAAAAAACAAAAAGAAAAAUUUUACAUGAUUUAAAGAAUAGAAUCGAUUCCUGUUUAACCAAUUAUAUCUAUUGAAUUCUAGAUAAAAAAAAAAUAUAGAAAACCAGAAUGUUUUAACCAUAUUCCGGAAGGCCAUAAACCAUUAAACACUUUUCAUAUCGAUAAUUUGGGUUUGAUGACCGCUACUGAUCGAUAAAAGGGAUAUAGAUAUAUUUUAGCCAUUCUUGGUGAUUUUCCAAAAUUUUGUUGGCUGUUCCCUACAAAAAUUAUGAAUGCAGACGAUACACUGUUGAAAAGGAAAGUGAUCAUGAGAGGCCACAUAAAACUGAAUAUAGCGCAGACAAAACAAAAUUUUAGAUACAACAAAACAAUUUUGGAUAAAAACUUACAUACCUACUCUGUUUUUAAUUUAUCAUGAUAUUUUUUCAUUUCCUUAUACAUUUUGCUUUUUGCGUUUUAUGUUUCUUUUAUUUUGAUAUCUCUCCUGCUUUUGUCCAAAUAAUUAGAAAUUGAAUUUAGAGUUUUUGUAUAUCAUAUUAAAUUUGUUCUCAAAUAAUUACAUAUAUUUGAGAACAAAUUUAAUAUAAAACAUUUAUAAUAUGUGGAGAGAUUUUUGUAAAAAAUAUAUAAUUAACAAAAUCACAAUUCUUUUUUUAACGUGGUCGUAGAAUCAAACACAUCAAUUAAAAAGGCGAAAAACAUUAACUUUAAUUUUGUUUAAAUUAUUUUAUAAAGUUAGAGUUGAGAAUAAUUAGUAUAUUAUCUAAUAAUAAUAUUAUAACAAUAAUUACUGUUGUACUGUAAAAAUAAUGUAAAAUAUUUUUUUGUUUGAAUUAAUUUUUUAUUUUUUACAAUUUAAAAUUUCUGAAUCCCACAUUGGUAUGUACAUAGUACGUACAUGCAUAUCAAAAAUUUCAGUAUUUUGUGUAUCUUCAUUUACAUACGUUAAUAAAUAUUCAACAAUAAUUUUUUUCUACUUUUUUUUAAUUAAAUUUUAAAAUAUUUAUAAUUUUAUAGCGCUAAAAAAACAUUUAAACAAACUUUGCAAGAGUCGUACUUAAAUACGAACAAGGUUUCAGAUUUUUUUAUAUAUUAAAACAACAAAUAUGCUCGGUAAAUAUCAAAAUUAAAAAAAGUUUAGUGGAGUAAAUCUACGAAAAAUUUACACAAGAGUACCUAAUUUACAUAACUUGUAAAUACCACUUUUAUUUCUUUUAUUAAUUUACUGAUUUCGAUUUGAAACGAAUCCAAAGUUUUUUAAAGUAAAGUAAAUAUUUUAAAACCCAAAAAUUGUUUUUACAAUAUGCAGAUUUUCAUAAUAUGUAGGUUAA